UAACACUGCUUGUACCUCUGGAGCACAGGGUAUUGAAUUAAGAUCUAGAUAGAGCCAAGGCUCAUGGGAAAAGCUACUAAAAUGUGGAUUUCCAGCCUUUUGAGGACAGCCAUGGCUUCCAUCUGUCUUGGAGCCAGUGUGGCCCAGAAGGUAACCCAAGAUCAGACUGCGCUUUCUGUGGCAGAGAAGGAGAGUGUGACUCUGGACUGUGUGUAUGAAACCAGCGAUAUUACUUACUACUUGUUCUGGUACAAACAAUUACCAAGUGGAGGAAUGAAUUUCCUUAUUCGUCAGACCUCUUUCAAUGAACAAAAUGUGACAGAGGGUCGGUAUUCUCUGAAUCUACAGAAACCUGUCAAAACCAUCAGCCUCACCAUCAUAGCCUCCCAGCUCACGGACUCGGCAGUGUAUUUCUGUGCGCUGCAAGAGAGCCCACAGUGUUAUGAAUGUCUGCAGAGGCUCUGCCAAAACCUUGACAGGAGGCAGGGGGAGGAAGUAGAAGCCGGCAGCGUAGGUGGGGGUGUAGCAGUGAAACCUUAG